AUGCUCGGGGGUCCGGGAGGUCCCGGGGGCGACAGGCACGCGCACGACCGUGUCCGAGGGUCUCUCAACCACCGCUUGUCGUGGCGACCGUCGCCGAGGACUCGAUUUUAGGCCAACCACGGGCGGGAGCGCGCGGGAGACCAGUAUCCGCCCCCGCCCUCGUGAGCCGAGGGGAGUGGGGGCGACGAUGCGUGACACCCAGGCAGACGUGCCCUCGACCAGGAGGCCUCGGGCGCAACUUGCGUUCAAAGACUCGAUGGUUCACGGGAUUCUGCAAUUCACACCAAGUAUCGCAUUUCGCUACGUUCUUCAUCGAUGCGAGAGCCGAGAUAUCCGUUGCCGAGAGUCGUUCAGAUUAUCACAAAAAGAAGGCGCGCCCCCGACACCGAGGCUACGAGGGCGUGCUCCUAGUACUCAAUUUCCUUGGCGCUUCUCGCGCCGGGGUUCGUUGGCGAGCCGUGUCGGGCGCAGAUGCGUCCCUCCACGGCACGCGUGGACACGAGGGGCGGGUGCCCCCCGAGCCCAGCUUGUCAUGCCACGGGUUCGCGGGU
rnacentral:misc_RNA from 1 species